ACGAACGCUGGCGGCGUGCUUAACACAUGCAAGUCGAACGGAAAGGCCCUGCUUGCAGGGUACUCGAGUGGCGAACGGGUGAGUAACACGUGGGUGAUCUGCCCUGCACUUCGGGAUAAGCCUGGGAAACUGGGUCUAAUACCGGAUAGGAGCCAUUUUUAGUGUGAUGGUCGGAAAGUUUUUUCGGUGUAGGAUGAGCUCGCGGCCUAUCAGCUUGUUGGUGGGGUAAUGGCCUACCAAGGCGGCGACGGGUAGCCGGCCUGAGAGGGUGGACGGCCACAUUGGGACUGAGAUACGGCCCAGACUCCUACGGGAGGCAGCAGUGGGGAAUAUUGCACAAUGGGCGCAAGCCUGAUGCAGCGACGCCGCGUGGGGGAUGACGGCCUUCGGGUUGUAAACUCCUUUCGCUAGGGACGAAGCUUUUUGUGACGGUACCUAGAGAAGAAGCACCGGCUAACUACGUG
rnacentral:rRNA from 1 species